rnacentral:ncRNA from 1 species
UUGCAGCAAGCGCAGGGUUUGUAGAGGUCGCCCCUUGGGCGUCAAGCCGAAAGGCCCGGAUCCUCGAACCUGGGGCUGCAACCUUC